AAAUGCUGAGGCGUGAUGGGGAAGGCCCUUGAGGCUGAAGUACAUGAUUCCAUGCUUCCAAGAAAAGCAUCUAGAGAGAGAAGUAGUGCCCGUACCGCAAACCGACACAGGUAGAUGAGGAGAGAAUCCUAAGGCCGGCGGAAGAAUUGCAGUUAAGGAACUAGGCAAAUUGACCCCGUAAGUUAGCGAGAAGGGGUGCCUGCGAGAGCAGGCCGCAGAGAAUAGGCCCAAGCAACUGUUUAGCAAAAACACAGGUCUCUGCUAAAGCGCAAGCUGAUGUAUAGGGGCUGACGCCUGCCCGGUGCUGGAAGGUUAAGGGGAACACUUAGCGAAAGCGAAGGUGUGAACUUAAGCCCCAGUAAACGGCGGCCGUAACAAUAACGGUCCUAAGGUAGCGAAAUUCCUUGUCAGGUAAGUUCUGACCCGCACGAAUGGCGUAAUGACUUGGGCACUGUCUCAACUGCAAAUCCGGCGAAGUUGUAGUGCGAGUGAAGAUGCUCGCUACCCGCGAUUGGACGGAAAGACCCCGUAGAGCUUUACUGUAGCUUAGCAUUGAAUUCCGGUAUUGUCUGUACAGGAUAGGUGGGAGACUGGGAAACUAGGGCGUCAGCCUUGGUGGAGUCGUCCCUGGGAUACCACCCUGACAGUACUGGGGUUCUAACAGGACACCAUGAAUCUGGUGACUGGACAUUGUUAGGUGGGCAGUUUGACUGGGGCGAUCGCCUCCUAAAAAGUAACGGAGGCGCCCAAAGGUUCCCUCAGAACGGUCGGAAAUCGUUCGUAGAGUGCAAAGGCAGAAGGGAGCCUGACUGCGAGACCUACAAGUCGAGCAGGGACGAAAGUCGGGCUUAGUGAUCCGGUGGUACCUCGUGGGAGGGCCAUCGCUCAACGGAUAAAAGCUACCUCGGGGAUAACAGGCUGAUCUCCCCCAAGAGUCCACAUCGACGGGGAGGUUUGGCACCUCGAUGUCGGCUCGUCGCAUCCUGGGGCUGUAGUAGGUCCCAAGGGUUGGGCUGUUCGCCCAUUAAAGCGGCACGCGAGCUGGGUUCAGAACGUCGUGAGACAGUUCGGUCCCUAUCCGUCGCGGGCGUAGGAAAUUUGAGAGGAGCUGUCCUUAGUACGAGAGGACCGGGAUGGACUGACCUCUGGUGCACCAGUUGUUCUGCCAAGAGCAUGGCUGGGUAGCUAAGUCGGGAAGGGAUAAACGCUGAAAGCAUCUAAGCGUGAAGCCUCCCUCAAGAUGAGAUUUCCCAUAGCAUAAGCUAGUAAGACCCCUUGAAGAACACGAGGUUGAUAGGUCAGAGGUGUAAGUAUGGUAACAUAUUUAGCUGACUGAUACUAAUAGGUCGAGGGCUUGAUC
rnacentral:rRNA from 1 species